UUUCUUGGAAAGCAGAGAGGGGCAACCUCAAGAAAUGUCCUGAAAUAAUCCAGAAUGAAUGCCUAUAGAAUGCAAAUUACACUUUUUCUGUCAGAGAUGAACCUUUCAGACCACGUUCUGAGGCAGACACCCUAGCACUGUUUCUACCCGUCUUCCCUUGAGACAGAGGAAAAGAAGGGAACUGAGGGAUACUAAAUGCCUUUAUUCAGCUCUUCUGAAGCACGCUACCCUCACGCACAGAACAGCUGGAAGUCAGGGGAGCCAAGGGAAGCGAUCACACUUCCUUUCCCAGAAGCAAAGCUACUGCAGUCCCUUGGUGAGGACAAGAAACAAAUCUCUGCAGAAGUCUUGUUAUAAAGCAGGGAUAUAAUUAAAUGCAACCAGCAACAUCAUGAAAACGGUAGAAGAAAUUCAAACAAUAACUAUGUUAACUGGAAAUGGCUUAUUGUUCAGUGAAAAACAGCUGAUCUCCAUCAGAAACAGACACUUUAAUUGCCAGUGCUUACUGUGGCCAAGAAAGAAAAGGAAAUUCCAUAAGAAAGGGGUUUUCCCUUUACUAAAUGCAGUUUCUUUCCUAGUUCUGGCUCUUCUGCUUCCCAAGCCCAUGAGAUAUAAAGCACAGGCUGAGCUACAGUCGAAAGAACAAAUCAUCCAAAGCCACAACCUGUGCUUUCUUGGAGAAGGAAGUUUUUCAGAAAUGCAGGGAAAAUGGCUCUCUGCCACAUCUUGCCUGAAGACCAUACAUAUAUCACUGGAGGUCAGAGGAAGAGAUGACACACGCUGGCAUCAGGCAGGAUUUAUGGAAAGCUGCUCCUGUGACAGUCGUCUCCUACAUGACCUCUUGCAGUUCCUUCUAAGACUUCUUUCUUUUACUCCUUGUAAAUAUUCCUGGUGCAGAGGCAUUGAAAUAUUACAAAAAAAUAUUUGUAUACUCAUAAGGCAGAUGGAUGUGCUAAUUUCUCCAUGA
rnacentral:lncRNA from 1 species